GCAGCACACACUUGCAGAUUUUUUCCCAGUAUUUCAGCUCCGGCCGAUUUGGCAAAAUCUCCGAUCAUUUUCUAAUCAGAAAUCAACAGAUAGCGUCGCCGCCAGAAAGGCUCGAAGUUCAAGUCUGCAACAUCAGAAGUUGUGCAGGCUGUGAAGGGAAGAGAAAUGGGCACCGAGGAGCCAAGAGACCCGUUGCAAGGGGUGGAUUGGAAAGCUGUUGGUAAUGAUAUGCAGAAGAACCCUGGUGACAAACCGGGGAUAAAGAAGCGGCUUCCCAGGAAGAUUAGGCAGAUUCCAGAGUGCUAUUUUCUUCCUCGAAGAUCCCGACUUUAUAACUUUACAUUUGUUAGUGCAUGUAUUGCUAGCGGAAUUGGUGCGGGGAUGCUGGUGGAGAUGUGGAUAAACAAGAAAGUUAGAGAGGACGGAGGUGUUCUAUGGGAGUUCGACAAAUAAAGCCAGAGUUGUGACUUGUAACAGCAUUAGAUUUGAAAACUUUAGUAACGAGGCAUUGGCUGUAAAGACAUCUCUGCAUUUGGUUUCUAAGCUACUGUUUUGUCAGCGGCACUUUUAUAUGAGCAGAAAUUGUUCUUCUCUUUUGUUUCAGCUCCUAUUAUUUAGAUUUUAGAGUACAAGACCUGGCAUAGAAGUUGUCUUAAUUGUUCUUCAUACACAAUUGCUAUGUGCAAAUAAAGCCUGUGAAAGAAUAAGACUGGUGUUCCCUCUUCCAUAUCAAUCUCCAUGUCUAUGUCAUCUAA